CCCUUAGAUGUUCGGGGCCGCACGCGCGCUACACUGAAGGAAUCAGCACGUCUUUCUCCUUGUCCGAAAGGACUGGGUAACCCGCUGAACCUCCUUCGUGCUAGGGAUUGGGGCUUGUAAUUCUUCCCCAUGAACGAGGAAUUCCCAGUAAGCGCGAGUCAUAAGCUCGCGUUGAUUACGUCCCUGCCCUUUGUACACACCGCCCGUCGCUACUACCGAUUGGAUGGUUUAGUGAGAUCCUCGGAUUGGUCCCGGAGCGGCCUCGGGUCGUGCCGGAGUGCCGAAAAGAAUGUCGAACUUGAUCAUCUAGAGGAAGUAAAAGUCGUAACA
rnacentral:rRNA from 1 species